UACAGAGGUCUCAAGCGUUGUUCGGAUUCAUUGGGCGUAAAGGGUGCGUAGGCGGCGCGGUAAGUCGGGUGUGAAAUCUUGGAGCUUAACUCCGAAACUGCAUUCGAUACUGCCGUGCUUGAGGACUGGAGAGGAGACUGGAAUUUACGGUGUAGCGGUGAAAUGCGUAGAUAUCGUAAGGAAGACCAGUGGCGAAGGCGGGUCUCUGGACAGUUUCCUGACGCUGAGGCACGAAGGCCAGGGGGAGCAAACGGG
rnacentral:rRNA from 1 species